GAUGGCUCAGCGGUUAAGGCGUCAGACUAGUGAUGAGAAGGGUUUUGGUUCGAUUCCAAAUAUCAAAUCA